rnacentral:rRNA from 1 species
UACGAAGGGUGCAACCGUUGCUCGGAAUUAUUGGGCGUAAAGCGCACGUAGGCGGCUUAGCAAGUCGGAUGUGAAAUCCCUCGGCUCAACCAAGGAAGUGCAUCCGAAACUGCUGAGCUUGAGUACUAAAGAGGAUCGCGGAAUUCCCGGUGUAGAGGUGAAAUUCGUAGAUAUCGGGAGGAACACCAGUGGCGAAGGCGGCGAUCUGGGUAGAUACUGACGCUGAGGUGCGAAAGCGUGGGGAGCAAACAGG